CUUGCUAGGUGGAUUAGUGGCGCACGGGUGAGUAAUAUAUAGAUAACGUGCCUCUUAGUCUGGGAUAGCCAUUGGAAACGAUGAUUAAUACUAGAUACUCCUUCUAACUCUAAUGUUAGUCGGGAAAGUUUUUCGCUAAGAGAUCGGUCUAUAUCCCAUCAGCUAGUUGGUAGUGUAAGAGACUACCAAGGCAAUGACGGGUAGCGGGUUUGAGAGGAUGAUCCGCCACACUGGUACUGAGACACGGACCAGACUCCUACGGGAGGCAGCAGUGAGGAAUAUUGCACAAUGGAGGAAACUCUGAUGCAGCAACGCCGCGUGGAGGAUGACGCAUUUCGGUGUGUAAACUCCUUUUAUAUGUCAAGAAAAUGACGGUAGCAUAUGAAUAAGCACCGGCUAACUCCGUGCCAGCAGCCGCGGUAAUACGGAGGGUGCAAGCGUUAUUCGGAAUCACUGGGCGUAAAGGACGCGUAGGCGGGAUGCCAAGUCUGAUGUGAAAUC
rnacentral:rRNA from 1 species